UCAAUUUCCUCUCUAUCUGCUCCCCCUUCUCCUUCUCUUUCCCCUUCUCAAAACCUUAAUUCCUUGGAGUUGGGGCUUCAAGGUGAACCACCUUAAAGAUACGAAAAUAUGGAGGUUGCUCCAUAAAACACAUUCUAGAGAGAUAGAGAUUGAGAGAAAAGCUAUCUUCACAUUGUAGGUCUCUUCGAGUUUCAGGUCCAUUUGAGUCGGUUAUUUCAUACCUCUAUCGACUGCUAUUGACACGGGAGAUCCAUUUUUCGUGAAGGAGAAAUGGCAAUCGAUGAGGUUGUCGGCCACCCGCAAGCUUAUGCGAAGCCCUGAGCGAUUGACGAGUUGGAUUGUACACUCAUGGUCCUCCUGUCACUUUCACGCCUUAUAAUCGGAAGAAAUAAGAGGGAAUCUUGAUUAAUGGGCAGAUCCCAGGACCUCAGAUUGAUGUUGUUACUAAUGAUAACUUGAUUAUCAAUGUGUACAACUAUCUCAAGGUUUAAGUCAUAACUAAUUUGUAUGCCCCUCUUGGACCUUAUUGCUUCCUUAUAUUAGUUUUCUGUGUGAUUAAAAUAUUAUUUUCCACUAGCAUGCCUCUUAUGGUAGACCUCAGUCUCCACAUGCUAGAUGUUUAGAUCUCUUAUUUAUUUAUCAUUCAACAAAAAGUUACCCCAUAGCCAUAUUAAAUGGCUAAAAUAAGGCAAUUUGAAUUCUUAUUAGUUUUUGCAGUUUAAUACUUUGCAAUUUUUUUUGGAUAACUCUCUUAACUGUCCACACUUUUUUUGGAUGAAAUAUUGAUAUUGGUAAUAGUCGUUUAAGUUGUUUAUGAGUAAAGUUUGUUAGCUAGUUUCAAUAGUUUUUCUUUUGUAUUUGUUCAGUAAGAAAAGUUGCGAGGUGUAGUUGCCUUAAUUUUUGCAAAUAAACUGGUUAUUCCACAUUAGGUAUUACUUGUAAGGGAAUCGAGAGAGGGUUCUUGUUGCUUAGCUUCAACAAUGUUUAACAGCUUUUUGGUAAACCUAAACAAGAAGUCAAUGCUUUGGCUACGUUGGAGAAGUUAAGCGAGAAAUGUGGUGGAUGAUGGGUGAAGGUGGAGGCCAUUAUUGUUCCACGAAGUCCAAUGAUAUCUGUGGCGAAGUUUGUGAUCGGAUUUUUCUAACUAUUGGAUACUCGAUAUUGGGCGUCUCAAGGUGUUGAAUGCAAAGCUCGUCUUCUGGGAUUUGGGAGGUCAGCCUGGCCUUCAUUCUAUUUGGGAAAAGUAUUAUGAAGAGGCACAUGUCGUGAUCUAUGU